UGUUGAUAAGCUCGACUUGACAAAUCUAUAAAUAUAGAGUUUUAAUCGAUUUGAAGUUGCAUAUGGGAAGUAAAUCAAUUCGAGGGAGAUGACUUGUUGACGUGCGAAAGAAUUUCGCUGACAUUGGAGGCCGACACCAAAUAUCCCUUGGUUAUAAUGUCGGCCUUGAAUGUUAGGUGAGGGUUUUUCGCUGUUUCAUCAUGCCAUCUCGCCGGAUUUCUGACAGCGCCUUCGAGAGAUCUUGUGUUCGCAAAUUUGUGCUUUAUGAGUGCAGAGUACAUUUCUUGAAAAUAACUGCGAUGUUUGGGAUCGGGACAUUUGUCGAUGAAGUUAUUGGUUCUUAUACCCUACACUGCCAAGAUACGAGGCAAGGUUGUAUUCUUAUCGUUACCUUUUUUCUAAAAAAAAAUGUUUUUGUUGAGUAAGGGGUCUAUGAGAAGAAGACUAGAUAAAAUAGAAUCUUGUGCAACUAUUUUAAAAUUUUUUUUUUUUUUUUUUUUGAAUAAAGGAUUUCUGAGAAGAAUUAUAAGAUAGAAAUAGAAUCUGAGUAAAGGAUCUCUGAGAAGAACUAUAAGAUAGAAUAGAAUCUUUGCAAGGAAAUAAGAAUCUCUACUUUUUAGAUUUAGAUUUAAACACUGCCAUCCACCAUAAAAUGACAUCAAUUAGACCCUUUCUCAACAGAAAGAUCUAAAGGUUUGAAUGCCACUUUUUACUAAACAGGUAUAAUUACCCCAACCCAAUUAAACUAAACAUUCAAUCUGAUAAAGGUAUUGUCUUACAAAUUAUUAAAUGAUGCUUUGCCUUACAGCUUAUGAAAUAAUGCUAAUAGACCCUUCCCAAUCAAACUAAGCAGUCGAUCUUAAAAAAACCCUUGCCAUACAAUUUGUAAAAUGAUGCCAAUAGAUUCUUUUUCAAUAAACAGGUCUUAAGAUCUGAGUCUGAUAAAACUAAGCAGUUGAUCUGAAAAACUAUGGCAAAUUAUUAAAUGAUGCUUUGCCUUACAGCUUAUAAAAUAAUGCUAAUAGACCCUUCCCAAUCAAACUAAGCAGUCGAUCUUAAAAAAAACAUUGCCAUACAAUUUGUAAAAUGAUGCCAAUAGAUUCUUUUUCAAUAAACAGGUCUUAAGAUCCGAGUCUGAUAAAACUAAGCAGUUGAUCUGAAAAACCAUGGCCAUACAACUUAUAAAAUGCUUUGAUAGACAGGUCUAAUGUCUGAAUCGAAUUAAACACAGUAGUUGAUUAAAAAAAGGGGUCUAAAGUUUGAACCGAAUCGAACAUGGCAGUUGAUCCCAGAAAACAUUGUCACACAGCGUUUGAUAAAACUAAACAGUUGAUCGAAAAAACAUUGCCAUACAACUUAUAAAAUACUUUGAUAGACAGGUCUAAAAUCUGAACCGAAUCAAACACAGCAUUUGAUAAAAGAAUAGGUCUAAAUUCUGAAUCGAAUCAAACAUGGCAGUUGAUCUCAUAAAACAUUGUCAUAUUACUUAUAAGAUAUUUAAAGAUCUGAAUUUGAUUUUUAAUUUCUUUUAAGAGGUUAACUUUUUGAUUCAGAGCUAUGAACUGGUGAGGUCACAAUUAAAAGAAUUCAUUCCCAAUAGAAAGACUCAACAAGAACACCCAAUAGAACUUGAAUCUUGAUGGCAAGAACAUCACCACAAUUUAACCAUCGCACUAUACCACUAUGGACAGAUCUGAACCUGAUCAAACUAAACAGCUAUAUCUGAAAAAAUAUUACCAUAUUACAUAUGAAUAAUAUCUGAAAAAAAUUACCAUAUGACUUAUAAAAUGAUGCAAAUAUACCCUUUUUUAACAGACACAUUUAAGGCUCUGAACUCAAUCGAAGUAAGCACUGGAUGUGAAAAGGGCUUUGCCAUAUAACAAAUUAGUACUAGAACCCAUAAAACUGGAAGACGUUUUACCAAGCUUGUGAUUUGGUAUGCACUGUGACUUCUUGUCGAGUUUCAUAGUUGGAUCAUUUGGUGGAUUGGUGCCUUGGAUCUUUUCUAAGUUUCUAUUAACAAUUGAGAGCCUGUUAGAAAGAUUGCAACAAAUCAGUAUUAUUACUCAAUAAAUUCCAUGGUGGCUGAUUCAACAAGUUAAGUCUUAGCAUUGUACACCUGAAAUUGUCACCUAGGCUCAGUGACGAUAAAAAUUUUAAAUUAGAGGCAGACAAAAAUUAGUAGCAAAUUUUAUAUGAAUUUAUUUUGAGACCUUUAAGUAUCUAUAAUUUUACAUCGGUAGUUAUUUUUGUUAUCAGCUUCCAGGGGUUCUAAAUUUUGCGUAGUGAAUGGCAAAAGAGAUGCCAUGGAACUCAUUUCGUAGAGUUACUAUUAUAAGAUCUGAACAAUACUUCUAGAUGAUAUUGCUCGUUAUGGCCGACCAUUAACUCCUGCUCAUGAGAGUUUUCAUAUAUCUGGGGUUUCUGAUGUAGGAGGAUACUUGGGCGGAUUGACUAUCCUACAUCACCAAGGGAAGAUGAUAGAGUAGUAACUCAUUGUGAUAUUGUGAUUAUUGGCUUAUUAAGGUCAUAAUGGAUGGCAUGUGUCUAACAUCAAAUUUUAACUAUUAAAUUUUCUCUAUUUUCAAAUGACAAGCUGGAGCUGGUUCACUUUUAGUUAAGCCUUGGAUCCUCAUGAAGGCCAAAGACACCUCAGUUCUUUUGCAUUGAAGAUGAGGGUAGAUGCUUGUGAUUCAUUAUGAACUUUGAUGACUGGUCAAAUUUAUAGCUGGAUUCAAUGACAAAAUGGUGGAUUGGAGUGUGCACUCCUGGAACGAUUGAGAGCAUUGUCAGGAAUGUUUCAACAAAUCAUUUGCAGAAUUAGUCAGUACAUUCCAUGAUGGCUGAUCCACGAGCUAAAUUUCAGCAUUGUGCUCUUGAAAUGACUACCUAGGUUCAAAUAUAAUGAAAGUUUCAAAUUAGAACUGGGCAAUAUCAAUUGCAGAUUAUGUGCAGUUUUUUUUGAGAAAUUUAAGAAUCCAUGAUUACAUUGGCAAGAGUUUUUUCUUUGAUUGUUGCUGUUUCUGGGUUUGAUGAAAAAACUUACACGAUCGAAUCCAGAAACAGCAGCAAGGAGCACUAUAGAUUGUAGAAAUCUAAUGUCAUUAAGUUUUUUUUCUUGUAAUCACUUUCUAGGGUCAAAAUCUUGUUUGGUGCAUGGCAAAAAAAAGUCUCCGUAUCAUACAGAUAUUGAGACGUCACAAUUUUAAGAUCUGAGAGCUGUUCCUAGAUGAUUUCACCCCCUGAUACUAAAUGAAUCAGGAAUAACGGUGGAGAAAUUCACCAGAGGUGAGUUUGGAAAGAUUUUGAAAGAGAAUGGUCCAUUUUUUUAAGCCAAGACAAUGAUUUAAAUUUGUAAUCAGUCUCGGUAGUCAAUGGUGCCUAGAAUGGGAAGUAUUCCCAAUGAUAGUGAAGAACCUCUUUUAGAUUUUACAUUGCUAUCGGCAUUUGUUAUAUUUACCUGGCUAUGGGGAAAUGCCCUGUUUGAGCUCAAUUUAUAGUUUCAGGCCACCAUUUUAGAAUCUAGAUGGUUGAUAUGGGUUUUUGGAGAAGAUGCUGUAUCAAUCCUUGCUUUUGGGAUUAUUGGUGUUUAUAAAAUUUUCAUUACUAGGAAUAGUUUGCUAAAGAAAGUGGUGAAAUCCUCCAUGAUGUUUUGCUGUUUUUUUUUAGUUUUGUCUCAACAGCAGUUCUUGCUUUAGUCUGUUAGUUUGCUUUAAUGUUUGAAGAUACAAAUGGUGAAAAUAAAAUAGACACUCCUUACUUGGAUUUGAAUCAAAUUUGCCUUAACUGCUAUUAUUCUUGUCUAUACGCUCUACCAAUGAUAAAAGCUAACAGUAGUAAAGGAAAUAUGUUGCGUUGUAAUGUUCGUUGAUGCAGCUUAUCGAUUCCUUGAAAUGAAAAUGGAACAUAUGGUGAUAAUUUGUGAAUGGGGAAUUAAUCUCUGUGUAGUCUGCCCAUUUUAGAGGAACUCUAUGCACCUUGGUACAGCUGUGAGGCAAGGAGGAUUGACAUCUUUUAAUCCCUAUCCUCGCUGUAUCAUCUCUGCUUCUCUACAAGUGCUUCUGUGCGAUAUUGUUUUGAAUCUGUGGGAUAGUGAAUCAGUAUUUCAGAUGUUAAUGGCAUGUAUUAUUUCAAUAUAACUAUGUCAAGGUUUCAUGUCAUUCAAUUUUCUGUUCAUGUGCUUUCCUAAAUCAUGUAGGAUAUAUUGAUUACUUAAUCAAUGUUUUGGUCGUUUACGCUGUGCAAUUUUCUAGAGUAAGCAGUAUUUUAGGUUUUCACACUGCAAUUUUCUGUAGAUAUGAUUCCUUGCAAUUUAAUUUAAUCAUUUAGGAUUAAUAUGCCUCUGCAAUAUCGUUUUGAGGGGCUCCUGUUCAAUAUUGUGUUAAUGUGCUUAUGGAAUCACUGUGAAGGAUGAUGAGCAAGUAUUUCAGGUUAGACGAGUAUUUUAACUUGUGCCACGGAAUUUUUGUUGACAUGCUUCUGGAACAGUCAUAUCGAUAUUAAAUUAGUUGGAUUAUUUAGUCAGUUUCUGCCAUCUAUCUCCUCAAACUUUAAUGUAACUUAAUUUAGGUGGCGAUCUCUACCAGUGGCCAAGAACAGCAAGUCAACCUAGUACAUUCGAUCGAAGUAUCUCAGGUCUCGAGUAUAUUUAUUCUAGGAAUUUCAGGGUUUCAUAUGGUUCAACUUUUUACCGAUAUGGCAUCUGGAAUGUCUACUUCCAACAUAACUACUUCCAACAUAACUAUUAACUUCUUGGCUUAAGAAAGAACCUUUGAAAGUUCUAUAGAGAUCGUUCACAAAAUCCUGAUGAACAUAUCAGUGCUUUGAUCAUGACAUGUGGGGUUCUUGGGGUUUCUCAUGGAGAUGUUUCUCUUCAAUUUUUUGUUGAAACAUUAAUUUAUUUCUACGCAGUUGGCUUCAACAUCUUAAUAAUACUAGGAUAAUUGAUCCGGAUACUGAAGUUUAGUUUUUGAGGUUUCUCGUGGAGAUGUUUCUCUUCAAUUUUUUGCUGAAACAUUAAUUUAUUUCUAUGCAGUUGGCUUCAACACCUUUUAUAAUACUAGGAUAAUUGAUCGGAAUACUGAAGUUUAGUUUCAUAACACGGUUCAAUUCUGCUCAAGAUAAACAUGCACCAUGCACUUUAAUAUCAGUGUGUGUGAGUAUAUGGCUUUUUGGCAGGGUUAUCUCUUGAUUUUCCAUCCAUAGCAUUCUAGAUCUGGCGCCUUCCCCUUUUCAGCAGUUCUUGUGUAUUGGCGAUCCAUUGCAAUGGGCAGUUCUAUCAGCAAGUGCUUCUGUGCAUUACUUUGUUAAAUCAUAAUGCAGGAAAGUGAGUCAGUUUUUCUGGUGCUUAUGGUAUGCGCUGUCUCAAUACAACUGUUUCAGGAUUUCAAGCCAUGUAAGUUUGCAUGGAUGUACUUUUUUGCAGUUUUGUGUUGAUGUGAUUCUGUAACUGUGUAGGACAGUGAAACAAUAUUUCGGGUUUUCACAUUGCAAUUUCCUGUAGUGAAACAA